rnacentral:rRNA from 1 species
UGUUUGUCUAAAAUCAAAUAGACACUUAGCUUCUUAAAUGGACAAAUUGUGUCUAACAAUAUGAGAUUGAGCAAUAACAGGUCUGUGAUGCCCUUAGAUGUUCUGGGCUGCACGCGCGCUACACUGAUGUGUUCAACGAGUUUUCAACCUUGCCUGGAAAGGUUUGGUAAUCUUGAACAGGCAUCGUGAUGGGGAUUGUUUAUUGCAAUUAUUAACCUUCAACGAGGAAUUCCUAGUAAGCUUGAGUCAUCAGCUUGUGCUGAUUAUGUCCCUGCCCUUUGUACACACCGCCCGUCGCUCCUACCGAUUGGAUGGUCCGGUGAGGUUUUCGGACUGGCGCAACGUCGCGGUUUCCGCGUUGAUGCGCCGGGAAGUCACCCAAACCUUAUCAUCUAGAGGAAGGAGAAGUCGUAACAAGGUUUCCG